rnacentral:rRNA from 1 species
GAUGAACGCUGGCGGCGUGCCUAAUACAUGCAAGUCGAGCGAACCACUUCGGUGGAGAGCGGCGAACGGGUGAGUAACACGUAGGUCAUCUACCCAUUAGACGGGGAUAACGUUUGGAAACGAACGCUAAUACCGGAUAGGAUGCAAAUUUAAAGGUGAUUUCGGGCACCGCUAAGGGAUGAACCUGCGGCGCAUUAGCUAGUUAGUAAGGUAAGAGCUUACCAAGGCGACGAUGCGUAGCCGACCUGAGAGGGUGAACGGACAGACUGGGACUGAGACACGGCCCAGACUCCUACGGGAGGAAGCAGUAGGGAAUCUUCGGCAAUGGACGAAAGUAUGACCGAGCAACGCCGCGUGAAUGAAGAAGGCUUUCGGGUCGUAAAAUUCUGUUAUAAGGGGAGAAAGGUUAGAGUAGGAAAUGGCUCUAAAGUGACGGUACCUUAUGAGAAAGCCACGGCUAACUACGUGCCAGCCGCCGCCGUAA